CCUUUUGCGACAGUUCACGACCGCUAAGUGUCCGAGAACGCUUUACGACCCUCUGUUUCUCAUUACGCCUCUUUAUUAAAAUUAAAAUAAAUAAAUAAAAAUAUUUGCGUGGGAAGAGAGUUUGCAAAACUGGGGCGCUUCUGGGCCGAGCUGCUUCUUUCUCGCCGCGAUAAGAAAGAAGAGGCGUUUGAAGGCAGCUAGCAGGAGCAGGAGAUCGCUCCUCUGAUUAGAGGACCAAUCUAAAAAAGAAUGGAUGCAUCAAGGAUGACAAGUGGAAAGAAGGCAUUCCCUCAAAAUACUGGGACAGCUGACACUCUUACCUCAAGGAUUGCCAGGGAUGGGAAGAUGCCCCUUGAGGUGAAAUGGCCCUUUCCCCGGGCCCCGCAUCUGCCCUGGAUCUUGGCCAGCAGGGUGGUCAUGGGCUUGGUGGGCACCUACAGCUGCUUCUGGACCAGGUAUAUGAACCAGGUGAAUGUCCAUAACAAAGAAGUACUGUAUGAGCUUAUUGAGAAGCGCCAGGAAGGCACCCCUCUUUUGACGGUCUGCAACCACCAGUCCUGCAUGGAUGAUCCACAUCUGUGGGGGAUCCUGAAAUUACGGCACGUCUGGAACUUGCAGAAAAUGCGCUGGACUCCAACAGCUGCAGACAUCUGCUUCACCAAGGAGCUGCAUUCCCGUUUCUUCAGCCUUGGGCGAUGUGUACCUGUCUGUCGUGGAGAUGGAGUCUAUCAGAAAGGCAUGGACUACAUUCUUGAGAAGCUCAACCACGGAGACUGGGUUCACGUGUUCCCAGAAGGGAAAGUAAACAUGACUCAGGAAUGCAUGCGCUUCAAAUGGGGUAGGUAUUUUUUAGUAGGAGAGGAGCAUUCUGGGGCCAUUUCAUCCUCUCUAACUUCCCCUUCCUCUUAUUUCUUCCAGGCAUUGGGCGUCUUCUGGCUGAAUGCCGCCUUCACCCUAUUAUACUGCCACUCUGGCAUGUAGAAGUAAUUUAGUGAGAAUAUUGAGAUUCAGGAUGUGGGAAUGGGUUUUGAAAAACCAGCAUGACCUCUUCUUCUCACUUGAUGCUGGAGGGUACUCUGGAACAAGGAACUCCUCCCUUCUACUUCCAGAGGUAGCUCUAUUUAAACCUUGUUCUCUGAAGUGGGAGGAGCCUCUCCCAAUUUUCUGCUCUGCCGCUGCUGAGUGAGCCGGGGCUCCACACACAAUUUCAACAUUUAUCCAGCACAUGAUUUUUAUUUUUGGUAAAAUCUUACAAACAUAAAAACUCUUAAAUCCAGGUAUUAUUAUUAUUAUUUAAAAAAUCAAAAUAUAAUUAAAAACAUGUCAAUUUCUACUUUGUCUGGAUAGGCUGUAUGUUUAACCUACUUGCACAAUCCACAUGGAAUGCUACGAAUUUAGUAGUGGAGACUCUUUUCAGCUCCUGCUAAAAUGAUCCCUUCUGUACAGCUAUUAAAUACACAGGAAUCCUAUUCCAUUUUGUCAUUUUUUAUAUAUAUAUGGCUUACGGUGGGGCUGGGAUCAAAACUAACUGUUUGUGUUGUUGUCCCCCCCCCCCAUCUCCCUAGGAAUGAAUGAUGUACUCCCCAAUGCACCCCCAUACGUGCCCCGUGCUGGGCAGAAGAUCACCGUGCUAAUUGGGAAGCCAUUCAGUGCCCGUCCACUGCUGGAGCAUCUGCGGGCAGAGAACAAAUCAGCGAUGGAGAUGCGGAAAG